rnacentral:lncRNA from 1 species
CUGUCAUUGUGCUUCCUUUGUCCUUUAAAUAAGACAUUUCUGUCAUUGCAUUUUUUGUUUACUUUGUUUGACAGAGAGCCCCACGUUCUUCCUUUUUCCUGUGUGGAUACUGGAAUUAAAUCCCUGAUGAAAGGCUUGGCAGAAAACACCCAUAUCUCCCGAGCCAUCUUACUAGCCCCAGGACUUGCUGUUUUUAAAGGAAUGAAGAUGUGAUGGGUUGAACUCCAGCUUGCAUGUUGGCCCCUAAAGAGGAAGCCAUGUACUGAGGAACGGCAGGAUCCAACACAGAGAGGCCUUGGCCCUGAUGACCACAGAACUGCUGAGACAGCCCUGCAGAGUGCAUGCAUGUAAACAAACAGAGACAGACAGACAGAUGGACGGAUGAAUGGACAGAUGGAUAGAUGAACACACAGAUGGACAGAUGAACAGGCAGACAGAAAGAGGGAGAGGGAGAGAGAGAGGUAUCUAACUUAUAAAUAUAACCAAUUUUUCUCCCUCACAGAUUUCUGAGCCAUUAUCAUCAUGGUGGGAACAUGGCAGCAUCCAGGCCAGCAUGGCUCUAGAGGAUCUGAGAGUUCUACAUCUUGUUCCUGCAGGCAAAAAGGAGAAAACUGACAGCUAGGACCAGGGGAUUAAAGCCCAUGCCCACAGUGACACACUUGCUCCCACAAGGCCACACCUAUUCCAACAAGGCCACACCUCCUAAAAGUAUCACUCCCUGUGGGCUAAGCAUUCAAACACAUUCGUCUAUUGGGCCAAACCUA